AUUAAAGGUGUGUUGACAUCCGUGAGGGUUCGGUGUGACUCCGAAGACUGAGGCGUUGCCGUCAAAUGGACGUGGAAACCAUGUAGAUGGUGACGAGAGAGGCACUGGAAGGAGUACAGAGGCAACUGUCAUAGAGGGAGCAGGAGCUGAAGUGACCACCGGCAGCAGCUGAUGGAGCACAGACAUGUGACAGUGUGCUCACGCGGGGGAGCAGUGGGUGCUGUGACCACACUGCUGCUGCUAACAGCUCCAUGAGCUGGCGACAGAUCUAUUCUAGUCUAAGUAGCCACAGACAGACAGACAGACAGACAGACACCUCCUACUCUGUGGACGUCUGUGAGAAGGGAAUAUGAGCCAGCAUGGGUUAAAGGCCCAGUCUGUGAAAUGUAGGUGACGUUACUUUAAUCUCUUUAAUUGAGGUUUUUAAAUCAAAGCUGAGGACGCACUGUUUGUUUGUACUUUCUGAUGUUUUAGUAUGUUUGUAGAGUUUUAGUGUGCGUGUUAUAGUAGUUUUAAAUUUCUGCACUGUGUGUGUAUAUUUUACUACACAUACACUGUUAUGUUUUUAUUUAUUUACUGUAAAAUUUUUAUAUUGCAUAUUUGAAAAUAAAGAAAUAUUGGGAGUAUCGAUAAUUGUGCGGAAGUCAGUUUUGAACUGUGAUGUAUUUUCCAAAUUUCACAAAUUCCUAUAGAUUGUGCUGGGGAAAAAAAGAUAUAAGACACUCUAUAUUGGACAUAAGUUUUUAUGAUGACCUUUUAUAUAAAUAACAUUUUACUUACAUUCUGAAAUAUGCUGUUUUCUAUGUUUAGGUUAAAUGAAAGCUUCAUAGAUUCUUAAAGGACAUUUAGCUGCAACCUGCAACUUCACCAAAGAGAUGCGUCUAAAUUUUAGACACUGUACCUUUAAGACAUUUAGUACAGCUGGAAAAGAAGGAUUUACUGUAAGUUCUGUCACGUACAAUUGAUGAUGUGUUUGUUGUUUUCUAUAUUUUUUUGUUAGAGCUGGUGUGGAUUACACAGCAAACCGCUGUUUACAUGAUAGUGAAGGUAAACAACAACAAAAAUGUUCUCCUUUUUUUCCUCUAUAUCAAUUUAUCAAUAUCAAUAUUAUUAUUUAUUCCACUUAUUUUACCAGCCAUUGGAGAAUGUGCUCUUUAGUCGUUUAUUGUAUUUUCCCCCUGAAAAUAAAAAACAUAUUCAAACUUGCAUAAAACUGCAUAACAUUAUUGUUGUUGUAUCUUUUGUUUCUUUGAAAUUGACUUGACUUUUAAUUGUUUUGGUCAUAUUUGAUGUAAUAUACAAGGCACAUAUGUAGAUAAUACUAUAAAUAUAGUACAUGUCAUGAAUUUUUUAUUUGAAAAGGUUGAAUUUCUAUCCUGAUUUUUAUCCAUUUAUCAUCCAGUGGACAUCAUUUUUUCCCUUCUCGAUGGUUAAUAUCAUGUUUUAUGUCAAAUGUAAUGGAGUUAUACAAUCAUUUUCUCCAGUGUGAGAAUUUAAUUCUAUUUUAUGAUGAAUUUAUUAGAUUUAUUGAUCGUAAUGAAUCAUAAAUGAUUAACUGUCGAGUAUAUGUUACUGUUGAAAACCCCUGAUUAAAAAGUGAAAUUUAAAAUGAGACCAGUGACAUCACACACUAUAUAGCAUGUGUGUUAUGCUACAUUUAUCCCCCUAUUAAUACACCGCUCCUUUGUAACCCAACACCACGCUGCUCAGCUGCUCCGUAUGUCCUUAUGUCCCAGUUCACACCGAGACCAGCCUGGUUGUAUUUCUGGCCUCGUGUCAAGUGGACGUGCUGUCCACAGAGGACAGAGGGUGAGAGGAAAGAGACGAGACGAGAGGCUAAACUGUAUGUCAGACGUACACAUGUAUACGGAUACGGCUCAGCAGGUUCCAUCCAGAGACAGAAACCUAAGAGACACACUCAGUCUUCUAUUUUUGAAUUUAGACCCACACGUUACUGGAAGAGAUCGACGGCAAUCUCUGAUCACGUUUCUGCAGUCAGGUACAGUCGUCUGGAACACUGACAACAGGGCGAGAACUAACUGCAGCCUGCAGACAUGAGGCGGUAUGUGAUACUGUAACUUAGACAGAAUAAUGUAAGGAUGUGAGGAGGAGCUGCACUGACUCCAGCCGCAGAGAUUUUCUGGUUUGCAAAGAAAUUCAAGCAAACUACUGAAGAACACUAUGACCUGACUGCAAAUAAAUGCAAAUCCUGUAGGGCAACGAAUAAGUUGUUGCUCGGGGCUCAUUGGCCACCACUGGGCCCCCCAAGCUCCAAAGUCCCAGAGGUAAUAAUAUUAACAAUUAUGAUGAUCUUCUUCUUCUUUUAGGGGUCACCACAUCUGCCUCCAUAUUGUCCUCUCUCAUGUGUCCUCUUCUGUUACAUCAACUGUCCUCAUGUCCUCCUUCACAACAUCCAUGAACCUUCUCUCGUCGUCUUGCUCUUUUCCUCCUGCUCGGCAGCUCCAACCUCCAUUGUCCAAUAUAACGUCCAUCCGUCUUCUUCCACUUUAUCCUCACCAGUCCAUCACAACAACCGUUCACUCUCACUCUCACACCUAUGGUCAAUUUAGAGAGUCCAAAUUGCCUAAUCCCCCCAAAUCUGCAUGUCUUUUGGACUGUGGGAGGAAACCGGAGAAAGACCUGGAGAAAAUCCACCCACAUGCACGGGGAGAACAUGCAAACUCUAAUAUAAUAUAGAUGACCCGUCGUAUGGCCUUGACCCAGUCGUCCAUGUCUGUCUGGGAGUUUGCCAUGAGCAGGAAAGACUCAUGGCUGAUCGGCG